GACGAACGCUGUUGGCGUGCUUAACACAUGCAAGUCGAACGGAAAGGCCCUGCUUUUGUGGGGUGCUCGAGUGGCGAACGGGUGAGUAACACGUGAGUAACCUGCCCUUGACUUUGGGAUAACUUCAGGAAACUGGGGCUAAUACCGGAUAGGAGCUCCUGCUGCAUGGUGGGGGUUGGAAAGUUUCGGCGGUUGGGGAUGGACUCGCGGCUUAUCAGCUUGUUGGUGGGGUAGUGGCUUACCAAGGCUUUGACGGGUAGCCGGCCUGAGAGGGUGACCGGCCACAUUGGGACUGAGAUACGGCCCAGACUCCUACGGGAGGCAGCAGUGGGGAAUAUUGCACAAUGGGCGGAAGCCUGAUGCAGCAACGCCGCGUGCGGGAUGACGGCCUUCGGGUUGUAAACCGCUUUCGCCUGUGACGAAGCGUGAGUGACGGUAAUGGGUAAAGAAGCACCGGCUAACUACGUGCCAGCAGCCGCGGUGAUACGUAGGGUGCGAGCGUUGUCCGGAUUUAUUGGGCGUAAAGGGCUCGUAGGUGGUUGAUCGCGUCGGAAGUGUAAUCUUGGGGCUUAACCCUGAGCGUGCUUUCGAUACGGGUUGACUUGAGGAAGGUAGGGAGAAAUGGAUUUCCUGGUGAGCGGUGGAAUGCCGCAGAUAUCAGGAGGACCACCAGUGGCGAAAGGCGUUUUUCUGGGCCUUUCUUGACGCUGAGGAGCGAAAGCGUGGGGAGCGAACAGGCUUAGAUACCUGGGUAGUCCACGCUGUAAACGGUGGGUACUAGGUGUGGGGUCCAUUCCACGGGUUCCGUGCCGUAGCUAACGCUUUAAGUACCCCGCCUGGGGAGUACGGCCGCAAGGCUAAAACUCAAAGGAAUUGACGGGGCCCCGCACAAGCGGCGGAGCAUGCGGAUUAAUUCGAUGCAACGCGUAGAACCUUACCUGGGUUUGACAUGGAUCGGGAGUGCUCAGAGAUGGGUGUGCCUCUUUUGGGGUCGGUUCACAGGUGGUGCAUGCCUGUCGUCAGCUCGUGUCGUGAGAUGUUGGGUUAAGUCCCGCAACGAGCGCAACCCUUGUUCACUGUUGCCAGCACGUUAUGGUGGGGACUCAGUGGAGACCGCCGGGGUCAACUCGGAGGAAGGUGGGGAUGACGUCAAGUCCUCAUGCCCCUUAUGUCCAGGGCUUCACGCAUGCUACAAUGGCUGGUACAGAGAGUGGCGAGCCUGUGAGGGUGAGCGAAUCUCGGAAAGCCGGUCUCAGUUCGGAUUGGGGUCUGCAACUCGACCUCAUGAAGUCGGAGUCGCUAGUAAUCGCAGAUCAGCAACGCUGCGGUGAAUACGUUCCCGGGGCU
rnacentral:rRNA from 1 species